rnacentral:tRNA from 1 species
CAAAUUAAAGUUUUUGAAAAUAUUUCAUUUACAUUGAAAAGAGAAUGAUUUUAUCAUUUAAUUUGA